UUUUAUUAAAUUUUAAUGAUUCACUACAAAAAUGUUAAAAAAAACAUGAAAAAGCACCCUAAUAAAUAUUAACUGAAAUUAUUCUUGAACAGAAACACUGAAUUAAAAACCAUAAAACUUAAUAGUAUAUUAAGAAUGGGUGUACUGUGCAAGCAGCACUUUUAUUCCUGGGUGCAAAGUAGAUAUGAAAUGAUCCAUUCAAAUAUUAGGUUCAUUUAUGGAUAUAUGAAUAGGGUAAUUUUAUUCAUUUAAAUGCUAUCUGUUUGAAGGAUUACAGCGUAUAUAUAUAAGACUUAAUAAAAUAUUGAUUUCUGACCGAGUAAUGUAUUGUAAACAUUGGUGGGAAGUUAACUGAGGGUAAGUCUUUAGAAAAUCAGAGACAAUGAUUUGGAAUUAGACAACUAAAGCUUCAAGUGCCAGAUGCAAAUUGCAGGAUAAAAAAACUAUAUAUACACAUUGUUGGAAAUAGUAAAAUGUAGUUGUACUGGCUAUGAAAUAGGAGAAAAGCUAGACGAGUCUUUCUGUCUUGUUUCUAAAGCUUGUACAAAUAAAUCAUAUAUUUUCCGACAAUGUUCAUAUGGUUAUGAAUAAUUGUAAAAUCUACAAAAUUUGAAACCCAGGAAUAAAAAUUCUACAGACAUUGAUGAUACAAUUUGAUUAUCUAAUGAAUGAUAUCAACAUAAAUAGCUGCACUAAAAAAAAACUAAUUGAGAUUCAAAAGUCAGAAAGGAAUAAUAAAAUAUCAAGCAAGAACUAGUGUCCUCAUAAAAACAGUGAACAUCAAAAUUUUGGUCAGACUAUUUUCAUGUUACCGACUUAUGAAUUCAGAGUUCAUAUUAUUUUCUAGUUACCUACUCAAGGACAUCCUGGAACUGGUCAAUUAAGAGCAACAAAAAAAAGUAAAACCAACUUGUCAAUUGGUACAAAUUUGGGAGAAAAUUGACUGUUUUGUGUUUUCUAUGAACAACAAAAAAAUAGAAAAACAGUAAACUUACCGCCAAAAUUGCAAACCAGAUGAUAUUUUUUAUUUUACUUCUUUUUAUUGCUCUUACCCAACUGAGUACCAGGAUGAACUACAACAGAUUAGGUAACCUUAGAAAAAAACGAAAAUCUAUUGUCACCAAUUGGUCAUAUGAAAAUACUGUAGAUUCAGAAAUAAUUGCGUGCAUUUAUAAUUGCGAUUUCGUCAUUUCAGUCGAAAAAGCAAUGUUAAUUUUUACGAUUUUGAGAAAAGUCCUGUAUAAUUCAUAUAAAAAAUUUUAAAAUGGGAGUUUAAAUUAUUGCGUUCAUAAAGUUUCUCACAUUUUUCGCAAUUAUAAAACCUCGCAAUAAUUUCUGAAUUUACAGUAGUCUAUUCUAAAAAGUUCACAAGCAGCCACAAUGAACAUGUGUUUUAUGUUUCAAACUGAUGUUAACUUAACUUCAUGAUAAAUUAUUGAAUGUUAAUCCUGAUACAGGAGAGACAAGGAUAUUGGCUAAAUGAUAAAAUCAGUCUGAUUGGCGGAAAAAGACAAGAAAACAUAAUGGCCUUCUAUCGUAGUUGGGGCAUAAAAAACUAUUUUGAAAACAAAUAUACAUAUAAACCAAAUAAUGUAGAAAGUUCAUGAGAGUGGGUCUCAUUGGGGUCUAAGAGUGACACGGGAUUGCCAAUUUUUGUAAGCGUGACACGUAAAAGUCAAAUUAUUGUGCUGUGAAAACGGGAAACGAAGUCUUAGCGGGACACAGGAAAUUACAAAAAAAUGAGAAUUGCUUACGUACAUAGUGUAAGCAGGAUACGGGAAUCUGACAAAACAGUAAGCGGGAUCCGGGAUCAGAACCCCCCCAAUGAGACCCCCAUGAGACAUUUUUCCAAUCCCAGUGGUUUCUCUUCUUAUACUACAUGUAUUGUUAUUAAUUUAUUUAAAUUAAUCCAUACCCACUAAAACCACCAAAACUGAUAUAACACUAAUCACUUUGAAUCAUUAGGAUCUAACAUUUAGUUUGAAAAAUGUACUUAUGUGUAAUAAAAUGUAUUUUUCUAUUACGUUUAUCCAUAGAUAAUUGUAGGUAUAAAAUACUCUGAGCAACAGAUGGCUUCACAUGUAAUAAUCAGUUUUGUAAUAAGGCGUCUAUUAAAUUUUUAAGUUACACAAAAUAAAAUAAAGCACUUAAUUAUUCACAACAUUAACUCAAAC
rnacentral:lncRNA from 1 species